rnacentral:rRNA from 1 species
GGGGAAUCUUCCGCAAUGGACGAAAGUCUGACGGAGCAACGCCGCGUGAGUGAUGACGGCCUUCGGGUUGUAAAGCUCUGUUAAUCGGGACGAAAGGCCUUCUUGCGAAUAGUGAGAAGGAUUGACGGUACCGGAAUAGAAAGCCACGGCUAACUACGUGCCAGCAGCCGCGGUAAUACGUAGGUGGCAAGCGUUGUCCGGAAUUAUUGGGCGUAAAGCGCGCGCAGGCGGAUUGGUCAGUCUGUCUUAAAAGUUCGGGGCUUAACCCCGUGAUGGGAUGGAAACUGCCAAUCUAGAGUAUCGGAGAGGAAAGUGGAAUUCCUAGUGUAGCGGUGAAAUGCGUAGAUAUUAGGAAGAACACCAGUGGCGAAGGCGACUUUCUGGACGAAAACUGACGCUGAGGCGCGAAAGCCAGGGGAGCGAACGGGAUUAGAUACCCCGGUAGUCCUGGCCGUAAACGAUGGGUACUAGGUGUAGGAGGUACCGACCCCUUCUGUGCCGGAGUUAACGCAAUAAGUACCCCGCCUGGGGAGUACGACCGCAAGGUUG